UAUAUUUUAGUGUAGUUGCAUGUAAAAUUUUGAUUUUUAAGGUAUUAAAAAUAUUAAUAAAUAUAA
rnacentral:tRNA from 1 species